AUGGAUCUACUGAGGAACCCUUUCAAGGGAGUGGUCGCCGAUGUCAAAGGAAGAGCAUCUUGGUACAAGGACGACUGGGUUGCAGGAUUCCGAACAGGAUUCAGGAUAUUGGCACCUACCAUGUAUAUGUUCUUCGCGUCUGCGCUCCCUGUCAUCGCCUUCGGAGAGCAGCUGAGCAACGAAACAAAUGGAAUCCUGAGCACAGUCGAGACAUUGGCCUCCACAGCGAUAUGUGGCGUAAUACAUUCCUUUCUCGGAGGGCAGCCACUGCUGAUCGUUGGAGUGGCAGAGCCUACAAUUAUCAUGUACACGUACCUCUACAACUAUGCCAAGAAGCAGCCGGGUCUGGGGGAACGGCUAUAUUUGGCUUGGGCUGGAUGGGUCUGCAUUUGGACUGCUAUCAUGCUCUUUCUUUUGGCAAUGAUCAAUGCUUCCAAUGUGAUAAGCAGAUUCACAAGGGUUGCAGGAGAGCUUUUUGGGAUGCUCAUCACUGUUCUGUUCCUGCAGCAAGCUAUCAAGGGAAUUGUAAGUGAGUUCAGUAAGCCUUUGGAAUUUGAGAUUGCCGACCGCACUUCACCGAUAUACCAGUUCCAGUGGGUAUAUGUCAAUGGCCUACUUGGUGUUAUCUUUUCAAUUGGCUUGCUAUACACUGCAUUGAAGACUAGGCGGGCAAGGUCAUGGCUGUAUGGCAUAGGAUGGCUUAGAGGCUUCAUUGCCGAUUAUGGCGUCCCUCUUAUGGUAGUUGUGUGGACAGCAUUUUCAUACGCACUACCAAGCCAUGUCCCUUCAGGAGUGCCUAGGAGGCUCUACAGUCCACUUCCCUGGGAGUCGGUUUCACUGGGACAUUGGACGGUAGCAAAGGAUUUGUUUUCCGUCUCUCCAGCAUAUAUAUUUGCAGCCAUCGUGCCUGCUUUGAUGGUUGCAGGACUUUAUUUCUUUGAUCAUAGUGUAGCUUCACAGUUGGCUCAGCAAAAGGAGUUUAAUUUGAAGAAGCCCUCUGCUUACCAUUAUGACAUUUUGGUACUUGGGUUCAUGGUCCUACUAUGUGGUUUGCUUGGUAUUCCUCCAUCAAAUGGAGUACUUCCUCAGUCCCCCAUGCAUACAAGAAGCCUUGCUGUACUCAGGGGGCAGUUUCUACGCAAAAAGAUGCUUCAAACUGCCAAAGAGGGCAUGGUGAAAAGUACUAGCAGUUUGGAAAUAUAUGGCAAGAUGCAGGAAGUUUUCAUCCAAAUGGAUAGCAUACAGAAUGCUGAUUUUGUUGACAAGGACUUGAAGAGUUUGAAGGAUGCUGUGCUGCGUGAAGGUGACGAAGAAGGGAAAUUGGCUGGAGAAUUUGAUCCUAGAAAACAUAUUGAAGCCCAUUUGCCCGUUCGCGUGAAUGAACAGAGACUAAGCAACCUGCUGCAAUCCUUACUGGUUGGUUGCUGUGUUGGAGCCAUGCCAGUUAUCAGGAUGAUACCCACUUCGGUUCUCUGGGGUUACUUUGCCUAUAUGGCCAUCGAUAGCCUACCUGGGAACCAGUUUUGGGAAAGGAUACGGCUUCUGUUCGUUGGAGCAAGCCGACGCUACAAGAUCUUUGAAGGUCCCCACGCAUCUUUUGUGGAGUCUGUGCCUUCAAGAACAAUAUCUGUCUUUACGAUCUUCCAGAUUGUUUAUCUCUUGAUAUGCUUCGGCACAACAUGGAUACCAAUAGCAGGGAUCCUCUUCCCUCUACCCUUCUUCCUCAUGAUUCUCAUAAGGCAGCACGUUCUACCAAAGUUUUUCGAGCCCAAUGACCUGCGGGAACUGGACGCAGCUGAGUAUGAAGAACUUGAAGGGGUUCACCUCGAACACACACUGCAGGAGGAUGAUUGCUCUAUUCCAGGAAGCUGUGACAACAGAAAUGAUGCUGAGAUAUUGGAUGAGCUCACAACAAACCGUGGAGAGGUGAAGCACAGAGCUGUAACCCAUCGUGAAGAAAAGCACCUUCAGGAGCCAACCGGUUGAACUUUUGAGCUAUUUUCUCUUUUUUUGCGGAAGAACACGCAUAUCAGUACAUGGUUAUUUUGUGCCUAUAAUUGGCAGAUUUCACGUAGUCCAUUCAAAUGCUGUUCAACCAAGAGUGUGAAGAUAGAAAAGUGUCCCGAGAACUGAGGCUUUCCUGCUUGUUCGAUGAGAAGUGUAGAGUAGAUCCUCAAGCAGCAGUACAUUGCUAAAUACACUACUGUUCGCUAAUAUGCAUUGUACUUUAGCUAGAGCUUUUCCGAUAAGCCAUGAUUGUGUAUGGUACGAAGUAAGAUCAGGUAUUUAGCAGCGAGAGCAGAUUGAAGAGAAGUAUUGGACAGGAAUGGGGAACUUGCCAGAAUGGUAAUGAGUAGAAGUAGAAAGAUUAGCACAUUAGAUAUUAGCUGCAAAACUGUUGCUCGGUGACCUGUUGCCUGUGUACUUAGCUUGUUCGGCUUG